AUUGAACGCUGGCGGCAUGCUUUACACAUGCAAGUCGAACGGCAGCGCGGGCUUCGGCCUGGCGGCGAGUGGCGAACGGGUGAGUAAUACAUCGGAACGUGCCCAGUAGUGGGGGAUAGCUCGGCGAAAGCCGGAUUAAUACCGCAUCCGACCUGAGGGUGAAAGCGAGGGAUCUUCGGACCUCGCGCUAUUGGAGCGGCCGAUGGCAGAUUAGCUAGUUGGUGGGGUAAAGGCCUACCAAGGCGACGAUCUGUAGCUGGUCUGAGAGGACGACCAGCCACACUGGGACUGAGACACGGCCCAGACUCCUACGGGAGGCAGCAGUGGGGAAUUUUGGACAAUGGGCGAAAGCCUGAUCCAGCAAUGCCGCGUGUGUGAUGAAGGCCUUCGGGUUGUAAAGCACUUUUGGCGGGAACGAAAAGGACUGUGCCAAUACCACGGUUCGAUGACGGUACCCGCAGAAUAAGCACCGGCUAACUACGUG
rnacentral:rRNA from 1 species